CCUGCCCCGCCCCAGCUGCGCCGCCGCCGCCGCCAAGCACCGCCCGCUCGCGCGCCUCCCUGCUGCAAGCGGCCGUCUCCCUCUGUCUCCAACGCCCUCCCUCGACCUCGGCGGCAAGCGGCCGGACCUCACUGCUGCCGUCUCCCUCCGUCUCCAACGCCCUCCCGCGACCCGCGCCGCCGUCUUCUCCGUCCACGGCGGAUUCCUUCACUGUCCCUUCACCCGAUUCCACUGCCUCCUCCCUGCAGCACAAGAUCCGCCUGGAUCCCCACCGACGUCGCCCGCGCCUCCCUCCACCCACUGCUCGACCGGCGCCGCUCCGUCCGGCCACGGCUCGCACGGCACCGUCAGCUGCCACCUCCGUCCGGCCACAUCUCGCCCGGCACCGUCCGCUGCCCUGCCACCUCC
rnacentral:lncRNA from 1 species